UCCGGUUUGUCACCGGCAGUCUCCCUAGAGUUCCCACCAUAACGUGCUGGCAAAUAGGGACAAGGGUUGCGCUCGUUACGGGACUUAACCCAACAUCUCACGACACGAGCUGACGACAGCCAUGCAGCACCUGUCUCUCGGUUCCCGAAGGCACCCCUCCAUCUCUGGAGGGUUCCGAGGAUGUCAAGACCUGGUAAGGUUCUUCGCGUUGCGUCGAAUUAAACCACAUGCUCCACCGCUUGUGCGGGCCCCCGUCAAUUCAUUUGAGUUUUAAUCUUGCGACCGUACUCCCCAGGCGGUCAACUUAACGCGUUAGCUGCGCCACUAAGGGCACGAAGGCCCCCAACGGCUAGUUGACAUCGUUUACGGCGUGGACUAC
rnacentral:misc_RNA from 1 species